CUAAGAUCAGAAGCAGCAGAGGGCUGCCUGUGCCCACCAGAGCCGUUCACGAUGGUGCCAGGAAUCCUAGUCGGCUUACUCAGACAAGCAAAAAACACAUCCUCAUCUGAUUUCAAGACUUCCUCUAAAGCAAUCGCAUUUGGUACUGUGGUAUUGGCCUCAGAUAGACACUCAGACCAAAGAGACAAAACAGAGCUCAGAAACAGGCCCAUAGGUCCCAUAGGUGUAGAGCUGACUUUUCAGCUGGGAUGCCAGUGACUCUUGAGAGGAGCAUGUGUGUGUUUUGUUUUUGCUCCUGGGAUAUUUCCUUUAUUUCUUCUAAGCCUGGAAAUGAAAAACACAAUCAGGAUCUAGUUAAUCUAUAGCAGGAAGUUUCUUAGAAUAUCUGGUCUAAAGGCGUAGAAAAUCUGCAUGGUUACUCAUUCCUGAGUGUCUGCAGGGCUCUGGGCAUUCAGCCAGGUGCUUUGCAUGCAUCUUCUAUUGAAUCCUCCCAACAACUCUGAGGACAUUUCUGCAACCAAUCUUUUACAGGAGCCCAGAGACUUGUGCAGCUCGUUCUCCAUCACAUCCCAAAC
rnacentral:lncRNA from 10 species